UUUUUUUUGUCAACCGAUAUAAAUUUGAACUCAAAAGAUCCAAUCCCGAGAGAUAUUGUUUACAUACGUGACAUGAUGCGGUACGGUACGAAUCUUUCGUGCCAACUUAUCCGCUUUUACAUUUGCACUACGAGAAAUUAAAGAUAAAGAGAAAUUUAUGAAUUCUUCCCUAUCACUCUACAACUCCUUCAAAUACACUGGAAACGCCGGCCAUUCGGUUGGAAUCGGUGAAUUGGUGAAAUUUUUGUUUCUAGAAAUCAACUAAUCCGUCAAAGAUGGUUUA
rnacentral:sRNA from 1 species